ACGGUACCGUAAGAAUAAGGAUCGGCUAACUCCGUGCCAGCAGCCGCGGUAAUACGGAGGAUCCAAGCGUUAUCCGGAAUCAUUGGGUUUAAAGGGUUCGUAGGCGGUUUAAUAAGUCAGUGGUGAAAUCUGGUCGCUCAACGAUCAAACUGCCAUUGAUACUGUUAAGCUUGAAUCAUUGUGAAGUAACUAGAAUAUGUAGUGUAGCGGUGAAAUGCUUAGAUAUUACAUGGAAUACCAAUUGCGAAGGCAGGUUACUAACAAUGUAUUGACGCUGAUGAACGAAAGCGUGGGUAGCGAACAGGAUUAGAUACCCUGGUAGUCCACGCCGUAAACGAUGGAUACUAGCUGUUUGGAGCAAUCUGAGUGGCUAAGCGAAAGUGAUAAGUAUCCCACCUGGGGAGUACGCACGCAAGUGUGAAACUCAAAGGAAUUGACGGGGGCCCGCACAAGCGGUGGAGCAUGUGGUUUAAUUCGAUGAUACGCGAGGAACCUUACCAAGGCUUAAAUGGGAAGCGACAGCUUAGGAAACUAGGCCUUCUUCGG
rnacentral:rRNA from 1 species